rnacentral:lncRNA from 1 species
UUACGUAAUCAUUAACACUUUAUUACUUAAGCUUACGUUUAAUAUAAACUUUGAAUUUAUUUAAUCAGGCAUUAUAGUCAAGAGCAAACCUUGACUAAAAAAAUAGAUACAAUAAACACUGUAAAUUUGUCCAUUGAAUAAUAUUACUACAAAAGAUAAACUUAACUCGCACCCCUUCGUAUGUCACCGUUAAACUUUAAGACGAAUCGAAGACGAAGAGAUGCCACGAAGCUAAAUGUCUGUUGAUUGCAAUAUGAUUGAUUAUAUUGCGUAUAAAACUAACGGAAACGGGAAAUUUGAGCCCUUGAAAGCUGCUAUCUCCCAAAGCCAGCACUGUCAAAACUCCACAGUUGCUCUUUCUUGUUGUUUCCGCUCUCGUUACCACAUGAAACAACGGAAGACCAGCGCUGCGCUGGUGGAUACAUCACAAGCGUAACACAUAGUGAGUGGUGACCAUUUAUUUACACAUACAUGGGUGGUACCCACACACAUAAUCUUUUGGUAAAAUAAUAUAAUAUAAUAUCUUUA